rnacentral:lncRNA from 1 species
GUGAUUAGCCUUUGCUUAUGCAAAGAGGAAUCUACAAAGGUAUAAUUUCAACUCACUUUGUUUUGAGUUGAGUUUUGGUUCACCAAUCUACUAGGCUUUGAAUUUCAUGGGUAAUGUUUUGUUUUGAAUGCAUGCAAGCAUGAUUCCGCAUUUUAAUUGUUAAUUGCAUGCUAUAGAUGUUAUUCAAAUGAACAUGUUUUCACAAAAUCAUCCUUCAACUAAAACAAAAGACAUGAAAAAGAAACAACGGGGGAUUAGCAAAGUUGCUAAUCCCCGGCAACGGCGCCAAAAAUUUGAUGCGAAAAUUAUCUUAACACACAAAUAAAACCCUCUUGUUGUCAAUUGUAGUAAAGAAUUAAGUAGGGAUCGUUCUAGGCCGGGGAUUAGGAGGGAUUGCUAAAACACUUGAAACUGACUUAAAAACGUAAAAUUAAGUUUAAAACACCAAACUAGGCUCAAAAGAUGCAAUACAAACUAAAAUGACUCAAAACUAGUUUAAAAGACUCAAAACUGCUUAAAACACUGAAUUAGACUCUAAACUGACUCUAGGGAUGGUUUUGGACGAAAUUAGGUUCUAACUUGACUCAAGACACUUAAAAACACAAAUCAAAACAGAUUUUGACUAAUAAAACACUUUAAAGUAAAGGGGGAUUUGAUUUUGAUAAAUUUGAAAACAAAACAAACAAAUUGUAAACUAAUUUGGGUAAACUAUGGAUGAUGGGGGCUAGCUAGAGGGUUCUUUUCCACACAUGACAAACUUGCACAUAAACCAAUUUUCAAUUGUUCUUUUGAUAAAUCAUGAAACUCAACACCCUAGGUUAAUUAAGUCCGCUUAAAUUAACCUUCAAGUUCUCCUUAAGUUAUUGCAUUGGAUGGGAAAGCACAUACAACAAUUCAAGCAUUCUUCAAAAGUCCUUUACAUGAAGAGCGCAAUAAAGAUACAAUCAAAGAUCAUUAAGCAUUAUGAAAGCUAUAAGUAUUGACAAGGCAUUCGUUACUAUGAUGAGCAUGAAACUUCUGCCAAGAAUUUAUUUAACGCGAUCGUUUAUAAGCGACCUCCACUACUUGUGAAUAUAAGUUUGUAACUAUUAGGUGAAACUCCCUUAUACUCUAGCAUCAUAUUCAUGCAUGCAAACUAAGUGUGCACUCUUAAUAAACAUACACAAAUAAGUUAUCAAUCAAGCAGUUAAACAAAUUGAAUUCACAACUUAUGAAAUCACAACUGAAGGUAAUCAAAUCAUAUUGCAAGCAUGAACAUGGUUUCGAAUUCCCCCCCUAGUUAAGGGGGGUUUAGUUCCUCAUACUUACAAAGAAAAAAUAAACAAAUUUAGACAUUGAAAACAAAAGAAAGAAAACACGUAAACGCUCCAACGAUCCAAGUUGGACAACAAGCAUGUCCAAGCACUUUCCUUCCCUUCCUUUGCUACGGCACAAGGUGUUGGUGAGUGUUUGAAGGGUUGGUUGUAUGGAGGAAUGGAUGGUGCUCACGGCCAAGGAAUGAAAGUGUAAGUGUAUUGAGUUGUGAGAUGUGAAUGUAGUGUCUUUGGAUGGAUCUUUUCUCCUCCCUUUGUUAUGGUGAAGGGUGGAUGUAUUUAUAGGCUAGGGAGAGGACCACCAUCUAAUUAAGGUGGUAGUGGUGUAUGUUGUGGUAAUGAGUGGAUGUAAUGGGUGUAGUGGGUGAGUGUUGUGGUAAUGAGUGGAUGUGAUAGGUGUAGUGGAUAAGUGUUUGGUAAUGAGUGGAUGUAAUGGGUGUAGUGGAUGGAUGUUUGUAGUUGUAGGUCACACACUUGCACACACACAUGCUGAUUUCUAGCCUUCGAAUCUUCAAAAACGUCCAUCCUUAUGUCUCCGUGCUUGCACUAUCCAAUCUUGGCCCAAAAAUGCUCCAAAUUUGCUCCAAAUAGCACUUUGUUGCCAACUUUGUUAUUUGAACUUACAAACACACGAAAAUAGCUUAAAGUACUAUCAUGUCCUAUCAUGUCCCUACAUAUGGUGUGUCCUAUGGGCAAGGAUAUCCAACUUAUCAAUGUUCUCAAUUCGCUGCGAAUGAAGAUGCUUGGGGUUAUCAAGGCCAUAGCCAAUAAUGGGACAACAUGUUUUCCAAUGCUUACAAUUCGGAUUGGAGAGAUUAUUCAGAUUACAUGUGGGGAGAACCUCAACAAUUCCAACAAGAUGGGUAUUAGCAGCAAGAAGAGGAGUUAUAUUCAAGACCUAUGCAGCCACUGAAGGAAAUUUUGUGAAAAACAUGUUCAUUUAAGCAACAUCUAUAACAUGCAAUUAACAAUUAAAAGGCGGAAUCAUGCUUACAUGCACUUAAAAACAAAACAUUAACCAUGAAAUUCAAAGCCUAGUAGAUUGGUGAACCAAGACUCAACUCAAAUCAAAGUGAGUUGAGUAAUUUAUACCUUUGUUGAUUCCUCUUUGCAUAAGCAAAGGCUAAUCACCCAAGGAGAGGGCCUUCAUUCCUUGCUUCUUAGAUCCAUGGAUUUGGAUGGAAGAAUAUGUUUCUCCAAGUUCUCAAAAUUGAGAACCUCUAAGUCUCUACACCAAGGUAAGAUUGAUGAAGAAAUGAGUGACCUUGGAGGAGAAAGAUUACUAGCUAAUCCCCUCCAAGGGGGCCGGCCUCUUUAGAG